GAUGAACGCUGGCGGCGUGCCUAAUACAUGCAAGUCGAGCGAACGGACGAGAAGCUUUCUUCUCUGAUGUUAGCGGCGGACGGGUGAGUAACACGUGGAUAACCUACCUAUAAGACUGGGAUAACUUCGGGAAACCGGUGCUAAUACCGGAUAAUAUUUUGAACCGCAUGGUUCAAAAGUUAAAGACGGUUUUCCUGUCACUUAUAGAUGGAUCCGCGCUGCAUUAGCUAGUUGGUAAGGUAACGGCUUACCAAGGCAACGAUGCAUAGCCGACCUGAGAGGAUGAUCGGCCACACUGGAACUGAGACACGGUCCAGACUCCUACGGGAGGCAGCAGUAGGGAAUAUUCCGCAAUGGGCGAAAGCCUGACGGAGCAACGCCGCGUGAGUGAUGAAGGUCUUCGGAUCGUAAAACUCUGUUAUUAGGGAAGAACAUAUGUGUAAGUAACUGUGCACAUCUUGACGGUACCUAAUCAGAAAGCCACGGCUAACUACGUG
rnacentral:rRNA from 1 species